AUGAACCGAUUCUUUGGGAAAGUGAAACCCAAGUCUCCGCCACCCAGCCUGACUGCAUUGGCGUGGUGAACAGCAGGGCAGAGUCCAUUGACAAGAAGAUUUCUCGAUUGGAUGCUGAGCUAGUGAAGCAUAAGGAUCAGAUCAAGAAGAUGAGAGAGGAUCCUGCAAAGAAUAUGGUCAAGCAGAAAGCCUUGCAAAUUUUAAAGCAAAAGCAGAUGUAUGAGCAGCAGCGGGACAAUCUCAUCCUACAGUCAUUCAACAUGGAACAAGCCAAUUAUACCAUCCAGUCAUGGAAGGACACCAAGACCAUGGUUGAUGCUAUGAAGCUGGAAGUAAAGGAAAUGAAGAAGACAUACAAGCAAGUGAGAAUCGACCAGUCUGAGGAUUUACAAAGACAUACAAGCAAGUGAAAAUCGACAGUCUGAGGAUUACAACUAGAGGAUAUGAUGGAAGAUGCAAAUGAAAUCCAAGGAGCACUGAGUCGCAGUUACGGCACCCCAGAACUGGAUGAAGACGACCUAGAAGCAGAGUUGGAUGCACUGGGUGAUGAGCUUCUGGCUGAUGAAGGCAGUUCUUAUUUGGAUGAGGCAGCAUCAGCACCUGUGUUCCCACCAACAGCAUAAAACAGGAUGGAGUUCUGGUGGAUGAAUUUGAAUUGCUGCAGAUCCCUGCUUCAUAGAUUUGCAUCAUUGAAGGAUAUCUUGCAAAACGAACACUUACUAUGGGACUAGGAAAUAUUUAUCUUUCCAAAUUUACCAAAACAGAUUACGUUUCUUUCCUUUCUUUGAAGGAAAGUUUAAUUACACUGCUCUUUUUUUUUUUUUUUUCCUGUUAAGAGACUCAUUGCUUGGGAAAUGCUUUCUUUGUACUAAAAUUUGAUUUCUUUUUUUCUUAUGAAAAACGAACUUAGUUUAAAAGUUCCUUUGGCUUGUAUGACUUGUUUUCAUUCGUUGACAAUAAUUCGAAAUAAAACUAAGGAAAUGGAAUCUUAAAAA